GAGGCUGGGACUCAGUGGUAGAGUUCUUGCCUGACAUGCAUGAGGCACUGGGAUAAAUUCCUAGCACCACA
rnacentral:tRNA from 1 species